UACGGAGGGAGCUAGCGUUGUUCGGAAUUACUGGGCGUAAAGCGCACGUAGGCGGCUUUGUAAGUUAGAGGUGAAAGCCCGGGGCUCAACUCCGGAACUGCCUUUAAGACUGCAUCGCUUGAAUCCAGGAGAGGUGGAGUGGAAUUCCGAGUGUAGAGGUGAAAUUCGUAGAUAUUCGGAAGAACACCAGUGGCGAAGGCGGCUCUCUGGACCGAGACUGACGCUGAGGCGCGAAGGCCAGGGGAGCAAACGGG
rnacentral:rRNA from 1 species